rnacentral:rRNA from 1 species
UACGUAGGGGGCAAGCGUUGUCCGGAUUUAUUGGGCGUAAAGAGCGUGUAGGCGGCCAGACAGGUCAGCUGUGAAAACUCGAGGCUCAACCUCGAGACGUCGGUUGAAACCGUCUGGCUAGAGUCCGGAAGAGGAGAGUGGAAUUCCCGGUGUAGCGGUGAAAUGCGCAGAUAUCGGGAAGAACACCCGUGGCGAAGGCAGCUCGCUGGGACGUUACUGACACUGAGGCGCGAAAGCGUGGGGAGCGAACAGG